CAGAGAUCAAGGACUGAGCAUAACACUGCCUGCAUGGCACAGUGGCAGCUUCAUGAGCAAGAGGGUGAAGAAGUGAAUGAGAUGAUGAUCUCUUGAGUCACUGAGAGCCAAACAAACAGAACUGAUGUAACUAUUAACACAAGGAAAGCAUCAUAGAAUAACCAUUCUGGAUAAAUGUCUGACAAAAAUGGUAAGCUUAACCACAUUUGUUUAUUAUUGUAGUUUUAUUACUUUGCAAAAUAUUACUUCAGAGGGCAUUUUAAAAGAGCAAAAUUAGGUCAAACAAAUGCUGUUCUUUUGUGAUGAUAAGUUUGCCAGAAAAAAUUAACAUAACUGAACAACCCUGUUAUUUUUCCUAUGCAGGGCAAUGAGUUGACUUAAUAAGGAUCACUAAUCACAGCACUGUAGAAACAGCUGGCAAUAAUGAAUUUAAAUUGAUCUUCAUAAUAAGAAAAGUGGGAAUGUGUUGUGAUAGGCCAGUAUCUUAAUGAAUGCACACACUGCUUGACUUCAAGUACGGCAUUUGAGAAACUCAAAGGAACAGCAUGAUUCGACAAAUGCCUGCUAAUGAAGGCAGGAGUUGUAAAGGGAAAACUUAAGAUUAUAAAAAAUGUAUGGUGAUACAUUGGCUGUUUUACAGCUUGUGCUGUACUAGCAUCUUCACAGCCACAGUCUAAAAGAACUCCACAGUCUAAAAGAACUGUUGGCAUUGCCAUUCUUAGAUCAUCAUACAUUUUUAUUGUGCAAAGCAGAGAGGAAACAGGAUAUCACUCCUUCUGUGAGCGCUGUGCCAUCCAGAAAACAUACCAUAGACUGACACGUAACUUAUAAAUUGCUUUUUGACCACAUUGAUUGCAAUUACAGAAUAAAGAGUAAUCGUAGCAGGAAGGCUAGAGAAAAUGCUUCUCCACAGGAGCCUAGCAUGCCUGGUUUAUCAAAGAAGAGAAUAAAGAACAUCUGAUUAUGGUGCACAUGAACACCUUCAUGGUGAAAAACAGAUAACCUCCAAGGGCUGCCUAACCUAGAACAGAAAGGCGCUGCAAGAAUCAAUGGUAAGACAUUACAGCUAAAAAUAGCAACAAAUUCAGAAAUAAGCAACAUUUUAGCUCUGACACAUUACUGAGACAGAUUAUGAAUAGAAGCAGCACAUUUCUUUUUUUGGUUUUAGAUAAUGUUUUCAUUAAACACAAGCCACCUCCUGUCUAACAUGAGUUGGUACAGAGAAGUUCUGUGGAAUGGACUGCAGAGAUCAGGCAAGGUAGAUGUGACACAGGCACCUUUCUAUGCUUUUGGGGCCAAUCCCACUUUGAAAUCAGACAAUUCUCAAUACUCCAGCACACUGCCAACUCCCUCCGCUUUACAGUUUUGCCAAGUUUCCUAUGAAAAUAAAACACGUCUUAGUGCUCAACACAGACAUGGGUCUGUCCCACCACUUCUUGGUAAGUAAUUCUGAAAACCAAUGCCAGUUUUAAGCAACUACAACAGAAAGGUAAGGGGGGGGGGGGUCUAGAAUACUAAGUCAUUGAAUGGUUUGUGAAAACAGAAGAGAUCUCACAUUCCCCAUAGAGGAAAUGGCUACAGCAUUGGCCACCCAAAGAAGCCACAAGUGAGGAGGUAAGAUGCACACACACAAACACUUUGAAGUAAGGCUUCUUUAGUUUUGCGUAAGAGAAUAUGAUGAAGGCAACAUCAUGCUAUGGCUACUGAUCUAAAAUGCAGCCUGUAUCCUGGUGUCAAUAUGAUGGCCUAUUCUGGCCUUAGAAACUAAAUAAGAGUGCAUUACUUUUUCUUCAAACCUGUUAUAUAGUAGGCAUCUUGCAUGAAUCUUAGUCUGAGGAACUCUCUAAGCAGAAAAAAAACAAGAUGGACAAUAUUGCUUUUCUUAUUCAUCUGAAUUCCACAUUCAGCAUUAGGCUGCAUGGACUGCAAUUAACAGAGAUCCCAAGAAGUUUUAAUAAGCAGUCUGAUUGCUGGUAACAUUUGACAGAAAAUUUAAGCUGGAAAAAGGUUCCUUGGUAGAUGCUUUCACAGCAUAAGGUUUGCAGGGAGCAGAGAACCCAUCUGUGGGCACAUCUAGGGAAGCAACCACCUCUCCCCCCUUAUGCUCCUAUCAAGACAGGUUUAAUUACACCCAGAAAUUAACUACUAUCUCCAGUGGCUCUAGAACAAAUCCAAGUGCCUAAAUUUAGACAAAGCACAACUUCUCCAGUUGCUAAAGUUUGUAAAGAUGGAUUACACACCUGACUCCAAGGGAGUUGAUACCAGAUCAGGUUAGGGAGAUUUUGGUGGUGACCAGCACAGUCUGAAGAGUGGGGAGUAAAAUGCCAGCAGACACAGCACAUGGCUUCAAUCUUAGUAACAUGUCUGAUACCAGCAUUUUAACGUAUCUGUUAUCUACCAGAAGGAAAACACAACAGAAUGAAGACAAUGCAGUGCUCAUCCACUAAGAAGCAAGUAUUUGGGGAUGAAAAAAAGUCUCAAGUCAACAGGACAUAUUUGUCUACUUAAUUAGGAGACAUUCUAUUAAAUGACCUGUAUCUGCCUGUUCCUUGAGCUGUGACUAAUACAGCUUUAAUUGCAUCCUGUGAAAGGUGUGCUGCAUUGCUUACUUGCUGUUAAGGAAACAGGAAUUAAAAUUGAUGUAAGAAUGAAGAUGCUGCAUCACCAUACGCGGUUGGCUCAUGAAGAAAAGGCAUUCCAAUCAUCAAGACAUCAUUUCCAAAGUCAAACAGACACCUUGACACAGUCAUACUAACGCUGAGGAAGUGGUGUUUUCUGAGUAUGUAAAAUGCUUAUACUAAGUUGCCAUUUCCUUGUAUCUGUGUAUGAACAAAGAAUAGCAACAAUGGUAACACAGCUAUUUACCAUUGCAUGGCAUUUUCUAAUCCUAUAACACUAACAUUGGGCACACCCACUCCUAGAGGACAAGCCAAAAGAGAUUGUCUCAAAGCAAGUGAAUCUGUGUCAGUCCCUGAGCAAUCUCAUUCUGGACAGUUACUCACACACACACCUCCAGAGGCAGAGCUAGUGGGGAAGCAUACAGGACAAGAAGCCCCAACCUCUUGUUGACCCACACUGGCAGGAAGCAAUAAAAUUCUAGUGAAAGUAUUCCCCAUGACGCAGAAGAGGAAAGCUACAGAUUUCUUUCCCUGAGGAUAAAAAUUACUAAUAAUUACAGCAACGCGCUCUGUUCUCCUGCAAGGCUUGAACAGACAAGGCUCUGAGCCCCACCUAUAAAGAGCAAAAUUCUUCAGCUCUUACCAGCAGAUAACCAGUACAAUUCAGAGCAGAGCAAGUCAACAAGGAUUAGAUGCAGUCAGCACUCUCAGCAAGAGGUUACGGGCAUACCUCUGAAUAUGCCUGGAUAGGAACACAGAGAGCUUCCCUGGGCUAUGGUGUCUUGUCACUGCUCACUGGGUAUUACUCAGCGGGUGUGGAGCUUUCAAGGCAAUGACCCAAACAAUGCUGAACAUCAGUUUACAGCGUGGAGCUUUUGCCUACCCCUCAUCUGUUGGUUCAUCUGUGUGUCACCUCAUUGCAUACCUUCUGUACCUGAGGCUCUACAGGCAGCUGUUUAUUGUGAAAAUAAUCAAUACACCAUACAUGGGGAAAAAAUAAUCCAUACAUGGUUUUGGGGAAUACUUUUUACAUACACUGCUGCUGUAUUUGUAGACAAUUUAUUUCUGUUUGCCUUUUACUGUCAUACACAGAACGAUCACUCAAAAGAAUUUUAAGUUAAAAACAUACAGUUUAGAUUUUCAAUAAAUUUGAAGAAUUAUCUAAGAUGCUUUUGAGCAAUGCAAUUCACAAACGUACAUCAUAUGCAUCUCUAAAUCCUCCUUGGGUACAAUCAUGAAAAGAAUAACGUACCAACACAAUGCAUUACCUUGCAGAGCAGAGCUAAUGCUUUAACUACUGGUCUUCCAACACUAACAAAAAUAAGGCUUCAGUAAUUCCAUAAAAGUCAGAUUUCUCCUUCCUUUUUAUAUAGUUUUAUUAGCUACCUUGAAUUUGUUUUCAAGAAGGAUCGUCUUGGGGAGGAAAGUUAACUUUCUUCUCUAUUGUUACUUCUGUCCUAAAAAAGGACACUUAUAUUUUGAAGUGCUGACAGAUAAUGUAAACAGAUUGCCUAGAGUGGAGUCUCCGUCAUUAGAAAUAUUUCAAAGCUGCCUGGACAAGGGCUGGGCAACUGGCUCUAGGUGGGCUUACCUAAGCAGAGGAACCAGAGAAGAUGACCUCCAGAAGUCCCUUUCAACCUCAACCAGACUGAUUCUGCGAUCCCCUGUCUAACUUCUGCCCUUGGCUUGCUUUGCAGUCUUCAGUGAAGGAAAAAGUAAAAAGUCUGUUCUGCCAGAUAUUCUCAUCACUCCUAAAGAAAGGGCCCUGACCAUAAAACUGGAGGAAUAUCUGAAGCCACUGCUUCAAACAGACUAACUCAAUAAUUGUUAGUCAGUAGGAAAAGAAGAAAAUGUCUACACAACAUAAUUAUGAGAACUAAUUCCCACUCCAUUCAAUAUAAAAGAUCUAAAUAUCCUCUGGAAUAGAAAUUAAAACCCUCAUGUUUCAUGCAUAAAUAAUACUUUCACAGGAGCACUUAAUUAGACCCAUUUCCAAAAGGCUUUCAUCUUUCGUAUUCUCAUAGGAAACACAAUAUGAAACUCUGUCCUUCCACACAAAAAAAGUGAUUCAAACUGCCAUAGAUACUAACGUUCAGAUAUUGUAUAAGUUAUUACUUUUUCCAGUAAGAGCAAACUCUAGCCAUCAAACAAAGGGGUAGACUGGGACAGGUUGCCCAGAGAGGUGGUGGAUGCUUCAUUCCUGGAGACAUUCAAGGUCAGAUUGGACAGGGCUCUGAGCAACCUGAUGUAGCUGCAGGUGUCCCUGUUCAUUGCAGGGGAGUUGGACUAGAUGGCCAUUAAAGGUCCCUUCCAACUCAAACAGUUCUAUGAGAAGUGAACUCUGACCAGAGGGAAGCAUGUAAAUCUCAAGAUUAAGGGCAAAACUCAAUUCUACAUUCAGCCUUGCCCCUUAACUGAAGGCUUCCUGCUCACAACAUCAAUAUCUUCUGGACUGGACUCUGAGACACUCACCUGUAGUUCAGUAUGCCAAGACGUCAGGUUGCUCUAGAUACUCAAAGCUUGGGGUCUGGUGCUCCUACAACAUUUUCUGGAUUCAACCUGCAGUCACUUUUGGAAGGACACCACGUCACUUUGUUUUUCACAGGCUUGUCUACAAACAGCAGGAGAUUGGGACUGCCCAAACUGGACAGUAAUAAAAUAACAUUGGCAGUCAAGUGAUAACAUGGACCACAUUAAUCUGUGGUUUUCUACAGAUAGGCAAAUUGGAGAGGGAGAAGGAAGUAUCACCCACUGUUCUGAUACACAUAUACAUGAAAUACAAAACAAACAAGAAUACUAAAUUCUUCUUGGCACCAUUAAAUAAAUUAAAAACAAGCAGCCCUUCCAUAUCUAAAGGGGAGAUACAGGAAAAAAGGGGGACAGACUCUUUAGCAGGGUCUGUGGCAAAAGAAUAAGAAGAAACGGCUUCAAGCUCAAGGAGGGUAGAUUUAGGUUAGAUAUAAGGAAAAAAAGUCUUCUACAGUGAAAGCGGUGAGGCUCUGGGACAGGUUGCCUAGUGACAUGGUUGAUGCCCCAUCUCUGUAGACUUUCAAGGCAAGGCUGGACAGGCCCUGGGCAACCUGAUCUAUUUGUAGAUAUCCCUGUUCACUGCAGGGGAGUUGGACUACAUGGCCUUGAGAGUCCCUUCCAACUCUAAGGAUUCUAUGAUAAGAUUGGCAAAAACAUGGACAUAGAAAAGACCCAAAUUGAAACAAAUCAUUCUAGCCCAAAGCCAUCUAAUAGCCUUCACAUGGGCUUGCAUUCACACAUUUAUGUACCACUUAGGUGGUAAAACAUCUUCACCAAAGUUGAUAGAACGUUGUUUAAAAUAGGCCCUAAGAUGUGGCUUUAAAAAUCAAUUUAAUUAAAAUGGUACAAAAAGUUGUGUUAAUUCCUCUGAGAUGCCAUUAGUGUUUCAGCUUCGUGUUCUAGCCAUGUACGAGUAAUUGUACAUGCAAGCCUAAACCUGUGGCCAACAUCAGACAGAGUGAUUAAUCCCAGGGAAAUCCAGCAAGAAAUGAGCAUGUUUAUUAUCUGUUGUAUAACUCAUCCCCUACUAAUAGUUAUAUGUAUUUUCAUUAGGUACAGUGCAUGAUCCUAUUAAUACUUGAUCAAGGAAAAUGGAACUUCUGAUAUCAGCAGGAACCCAGUCUUGUAAUUGCCUAGCAAAGUGUUUUAGGCAACUCUCAUAAUAUAUGGCGACAGAAACUCCCAGCUGGUUAGCUAAAUAGGACAUUUGUCUUGAUUUAUAUAAAAGAAUUCUAGCACAGGUAGUACUAAUAAAAAACAAUCCACCACAAAUUUGGGGAAUUAGUUGAAUGCUCAGCACAUAAACAGAAUCUGCCCCUAAUGGAUUACACUAAUACCAGCAAGUCUGUAGAGACAGAUAUUCCCCUGUGCAGUUUCCAAUUAAAAUAUGCAUUAUUUAUAGCAGCAGAACUUUCAGCUCAACGUAACAAGACAAAGAGUCCUUUGUCAACUCUGUUACAAUCCCUAACCUAUGCUGAGACCGCACUCUCUGGAACAAGUGCUCUAUGAAAAGUCUUUCCUGACAGACAUGGGAAAUAGAAGGAAAGGGAAUGCAAGGGGCAAUUUGUUAAAAAGAAAGAAAAUAUUUCAUCUAACAGCUUUAUAGCAGUUGCACAGAAAACAUUCCUCAGUUUCUCCUUGUAAUCACAUACAUUCACACUCAAGAACGGACAUAUAUUGCUUACAUUUAUCAGUUUACACAGGAAAAAAAAAAAACAAGGCAUAUUUUGAUAUUCCUAGAAAAACUGUGCUUGGAACCGGAAGAUGACUAAGAAAAUUUGUAAUAUAUGUGACAAUUGAACUAGCAACAGUUUACUGAUUAAAAAUAUUUAAUAUUAGUAAAUGAUAGUUUUAUAGGAUAGACACAUCAGUCUUCCAUAAUAGCUAUUCCUGAAAGAUCGGGGUGUGUGGAUGUGGUUAGGAUUCCAAGAUGCCUUAUACUGCAAAUGAGAAACAAUGAGAAACAUUAGGACUACCACUUUCUGUACCACUGUACCACUUCCUAUAGUGCAGAGAAGGAUUUCUGAUGGACCACGUCGCAUUCUUACUUAAAAACACUGAGACAUAUUAAAAUACUUCACUUUACAACAGAAUAAUUGCAGUGCCUGGAUAUACUGUAAAGACCAGAUUUGGCUCUAUAAAUCAUACCUUGUAUGUACAAGAACUGCUCUCAGCAGUCACUCUUUUCAAUACAUGAACGCUGAAUAUUUCUGCAAACUUACAAUCGGCUAAUAAAUAUAUUAGAAAAUAAGAAAUAAAGCACUUGUUUUACAUUCAUAAUCAAUUCUUAAUUGAUUUAUUUAGCCUGCUGCACAAUCUGCACAAACAACAGUGGGGGGAAAAAAAAAUCAGCACAUUAAAAAUUCCAGUGAGCACACAACUGCACCAUGCUUUGCCUGCAGCUCUGCUGCUCCAAGCUGUACUCCUGCCUGUUUUCAAAUGCUAGUGUUGAGCUUAGUACUUACAUGAAUGAAACAAAAAACAGACAGAACACUGUCAAAAGUAAUCUCUAGUAAUUUGGUAAGUGGUAUAGACCACCCUUCACAACAUUACUGACAAAAAAUUCCCUAAAAAAAAAAAAGUAGGCAUUAAAUGGCUUACACCACAAUUGUCAAGGUGACAUUAAAAGUAAAGCUCGGUCCACUUAACAACUAUUAGAAGUCCCCUUGUGCUUUUCGCAAGAUUGGGACCGUAGAUCUGAAUUUUGGCCGAAUUCCAGUUCAGUUAAUUAAAUUCCACACAUCCACAUCCUUUCUGCAGUUCAUAUCUUUUGCUGCUACUAAAUGCUAUUAAACAAUGAACAUGCAAAAUCAACGUCCUCUGGGUUUAACAUCAGCAAGGAUCAAAAUAUUUCCCCAAAGCAAAGUUAGUGAAAAGCUGCUGGAAUACUUGAAUAAAGCACAGCUGUUGUUAAAAUGAGUACUUCCCAUUCAAGCAAUUUAAAGAACCAUUAGAAUACUGCAGCAUUUUGACUGACUUAUAAAAUGUAAAAAGAUUGUUUCUUGUUAGUAAUUAUGCAUGGCCUCAGCUGCAAUGCUCAACUGUUACACACCUAUAUGAAGAGGAAUCAAUCUGGUGCAUGUUUCCAACCUUUCCUGCUCUGACUGUACAACAGGAAGGUGUGGUCUGUGAUGCGUAUGAGUUUCUAACAGGGAAAGAAUCAUCAUCCUUUCAGAAAAAAAUAAAAUUAAAAAUAAAUAUAAACAUUCUCUUCAAUUCUUUAAGAUACCUUCUACUAUUCGCAAAAAGCUACUCUCCACAUAUCUCCUUUUACUUACAUUAUCCUUCAAAUUAAGGAAGAUGAAACUUCUGCAAAGAGAAAUUUAUCUUGUUGAACCAGUGGACUCUUGAUAAUUGUGUUUAAGAGAACGUGGACCAUUCUCUGCUCUUCUUCCAGAUGACCCUUGACUUUCAGCACAUAAGUGUGACAAUACCAGCAGCUUCUUUAUUUGCCGGGAUGCUCUCUUGGAAGUUUAUUUAACCUAAUGUUCCACAAGAAGUGAUUUGAGUGUAAAGGAUAUGCAUGCAUUUACAUAGUUAAAAUACAACUGCUCCAGUACACAACUACACACAGCAAAGAUGCUCACUUGUGCACAUGCUUGUUUAUCUGCACAUAAUUCCACCUCAACACAACGAACACUGCAGACCAGCUGGAAUAUAUAGUUCUGACCUCACCGUUGUAACAAUCAUCAAGGUUGGAAAAGACCAUCAAGAUUAUCCAGCCAAACCGUCCACCUACCACUAGUGUUUUCCCACUAACCCAUUUUCUUUGGUACAACAUGUAAGUGUCUCCUGAACACCUCCAAGGACGAUGACUCCACCACUCUCUGGGCAGCACAUUCCAGCACCUGAUCACCCUUUCAGACAGUAAAUUUUUUCCUAAUAUACAACUUGAACCUCCCUUGGCACAACUUGAGGCCAUUAUCUCUAAUGCCAUUGCUAGUUACACAGUUAGUACAGAGAAGUACCUCAUUCUAUCAAUUUUGCCUAAUAAAAAAAAGGGGCAAUUCUCAAAAUAAAAAAAAUAACCAUAUCAUAUAAAGCGUUAAGAACUCAUUCUAUGUUGAAAUGUGAGACCUGUUACAUACUUCCUAUGAGCUUAAAUCCUGCCCGGAGUCGGAACAACUAUUGUUUGGUCCUAAUCAAAACCUCUGAUCUUUUAGACCAGGCAAAUACCAAAUCUAGGAUCUAAACCUUGGGUUCAGGCAUUCCCCCUGUAUUAAGUCCAACAAGAACACCACUGUAUACAGAUUGUAAGAGAAUCCAGACUGAGACACUGGCGUUAGUCUCAGCAUUUGUUACCUAACAUCAAGCAGAUUUCACAAUUUAUGAGUUUGUAAGGUAAGAUGCUUUGAAUUUAAGCAUCUCCCAUACUUCUCCUCCCACCCAACAUAGAAGACACCUACUUUGGCAAAAGCUACUAACAGCGUUAUGAGAUAGGAAUCAAAAUCAUCUACAGUAGGGUUCAUCCUAAAUAAUGUUAACCAACUACGUUUCCUCUGUAAAGUUAACUACAAGCAGGCAGUAAGUAACCCUAUGGGGGUGAAUCUGCCCACACAUUUAAGUGUCUUAUAUGAAAUGAAGAUGCCUUGCAGGAAUGCCCAUCAUUUUCCACCACAGAAGUGGAACUACAGAGAUGUCAGAUUAAACAAGAAACAAAGUAGACUAAAUUAACUCUCAGAUGUAGUAAAUAUACCAUACCAGUUUAAAAAUGCAGCGCCGUAAAUAUUUGUGGGUUUUCUAUAUACAGGGUUGUGGUUCUCAGGCAGUGGUGUUAUGUGAACAGAACAAACAAGAGACUGUUCACUUUCUCAGAGUAUGCUUACACAGACAAAUAACCUCUCUUUUUCCUCUCACACCUAACAAGAAACAUAAUUGAGCAAUUUGGUAUAUGAGAAAAUUUUUCACUGCACAGACCAAGAAAAGCUUGGGCUUUCAAGUUAAGAUUGAUGGAAGAGAGUAAACAUUUUCCCAUACAUUCUUACUAAGGCAGCACAGAAUUCUUUACAUCUCCAUCUGCAUUAUCACCAGGAACACAUACUUCUCAGGAAAUCCUGUUGCAGGCUUUGGCAGCAAAGCUAUUGAAAAUGUGAACCUGUCGGACUCCGUGCCAUCGGAGGCAGUUAUCUGACUUGGCAGUCACUAAAUAAUACAGGUAUCUCAUGUAAAUUUACCUCUCUUCUUCCGGAACACUUCAAACUUUCUGUAUGACAAAAGCCUUAGAGUAAAAACAUUCUACUGCUGUAAAUGGCCCAGAUUGAUACACAUUUGAAUUCUGAAGUUCAUUACGCAUACACACAGAUACCGAUAUGUGCAGAGAUGCAUUUUAAAGUAUAUUUCAUGGCAAUUCUGAAUUUUGAUGAAGAGUUGCCACCUUCAGACUUCACUACACUCCUUUUCAGUAAUGAUGUAGGUGCCAGUGUCUGUGCUAAACUCAGAGCACAAACAAACGAAAAAGCGUAUUGUAAAAACAGACAAAAAUACUACAACAUAUUGCAUAACUGUUUAAGAAAUAGAUUUUUAGUAGUGGAGCAAUUUAAAUGAGUCUUCUGUUAUGCUUAGCUCUGACAACUAAAGCUCAACUGAUAGAAAAGGAAACCAUGUCUUAUGCCUACUAUAAUAGUGCAUAAAGGAAUUGGUUGCUCGUGUUCAGCUCAAUUUUCUGUGGGGUCCACCGCUACCAUUUCUCUCAAGUCCUCCAACUACUGUUUGUUCCUGUUCAUACAAUAGGACAUACAAUGAUACCUCCUAGAAAAUAAACAAAUGCAAGCAAGUACCCAUUUUCUUAACUGGAACAGUAAGCAAGCAUUUGUAAUAAAGGCAAUUUGAAUAAUCAAAGAGUGUAAUGUUUACAAUUCUGUGUUUCUACCCAGCUGCCGUGAACAUUAGGAAAAGGCAUUUUCUCCCGUUAUUACAUUACUUAGUUUCUGAAAAGCCCAGAGGGAGGAAGGAAAUUUACUUCAAGA
ensembl:lncRNA